UGGCUGCAAUGUCCAAAGCCGCCGCUUUGAUAGUUACCUCCCCAUACCAACCCUUCGCACCCCACCCCUCCAUAGCCCAUCAAUUAGAAACGACUGGGAUUUCUACUCCCCUCCCCCCAACAGUGUCUGCCAUUCAACUCAAAAUUAGGUGGAAGCAGAAUGCGGAUAGACUUUAUUUUUAAAAAAACAUAAAGGAGCUGGAUAAAUAUUUUGAAAAGAAACAAUGGAAAAGGGAUACGCAGCUUGGUGAUAGUUCUUUCAGAGCAGUGAAAAUUCCUGUUAACUCUUUCCUUGUCCUGCUGCAAAACAGAAACUUCAGAAGCCCACCAGAAAACCACAAAGCUGCCCAAAGGUCAACAGCAGCACAGUAACUAUCAGGAGAGACUACUUGCUUAAAAAAUGAAUAAUCACCUCCGUCCUUCAAUGCUGACAUCAGGG